GUCUUCCGGUGGGUAUCAUAACAAAAGAAUCAAAAAGCGGGGUUCAAGCAUCGGAGGUCAAUGCUGGAGGUAAAGGCAAGGCGUAAUGAUUAACUCGGCCCAGUUUGUGCUUGCUAAAUUAAUAUCUGUAGUGUGCUUCAUCAAUUACCUCCAGCGAGUUCGAAUCUUCCUUGCUCGAUUAUUUUUAAAGCUUUUCGCUUCUUUUUGUAAUUUGUAAGCACUCAAAUUAAGUAUGAGAUCCAGACAUUUGCAGUCUUGAGAGCUAGAUUUUUCUAUAUUAACAGAAUUACAUCUCGGAAUCCGCUUAGAGAAUCUGAGAUUCUUGUGACCAUUUUGAGAUAUUUAUCGUUUGAAUGAAACCUUGUGGUAGGAACUCCGUACAUAUUAUCUGUAAUGUCCGUUUAUUAUGUGGGGUCUUAUCAGUAUUGUAUGGUUAUGCUCUUGAUUGCAGAUCAGCUUGAUAUUACAUCGGGCUCGUUUUGUGAUUUCGUCAUGUAUAUUGUUGCUCUCAUAAGAAGGGAUUAGGCCUUUAAUCGCUAGGAUUGUCUCUGAUAUAGUUAGCGCCAUUUUGUUUGGCUAAAAAUUAGAUUUUUAAUAAAUUUUGAUAAAAAGUUGAUUAUAUUGACAAGAGCUGCGAAUUCCAUGAAUAUAUGGUUAUAAUUAAUUGUUGAUCUCUUAAAUUUUUAUCGACUUUUUUUAGCCAAAUCAAAUAGGUACUUGGUAAUUUCUUGAAAUUUGGGUUUGUGUACCAUUUGUGUUGGAUUUAUCAAGUAGGUUAGACAUGAACACCAUCGGCUUGUUUCCGCUUAAAAAAUCAUCGAUUGGCAAGGAAGUAGUAUUUUGUAGAUGCAGAUGUCGAUUGCAAACUUUUGUACAUAAUCAAAUCUCAUGAUUACCAGUAUGGCAAAUUUUAUUGUAAAUCAAUUAUGAUCUUGCUCAACCUUUAAAUCAGCAAAUGUCGUUUAGUUUCAAAUACAACUAAGCCCGUUCCAUCUGAACUAGACUUGGGCGUGCUAUGGAUUUUGUUUGUUCACCCUUCUGAAAAUGGAAGAAUGAAUAGGAAUUUUCUAUUCCCAUGCAACUUGAGGGAUAGCAAGAUUUUUUAAAUAAUCAUUGAGAAUGUUUGUUUUAAACUUUCUUGGCAUGCCAUAAAGUUGUGGAUGUGGGAUUUCUCAGAAUUUUCUCUUGCGAGUCAUUCUUCUCUGCUCUUGUCAAUUUGCCCACCCCAUCUUUGUCUGUCCAAGCUCAUUUUGAAUGUCUUGUAACAGAAUCAAGGUUUUUCUAUGGCCGAUCUUUCAUAGAAAAAUUGAUUCGUGAGAAUUGGUUCAAAAGAAGCAUCUCUAUUUCUCUCUUUGUUGUUCAUGGUGUAUGAUGUGUGCUAUAGUGGAGAACAGCAUUUUUGGUUAUAUUUGGGGUGAUUUAGAGAUACAACAGGAUUUUUGAAGGAGGAGAGUAAGAAGUUUCUGAAUUAUCGGAUAGGGCUAAAUUUUUAGAAUCGCAACAAUUUCUUGAACAACCUUUUUGACUCGGAGCUUUAGAAUAGGAGUAUAAUUCUCAUGCUGGAUUUGUUGUUGAGUUAUUUUCUUGCUGUGAAAUAUCCAGAAUUAUUCAUAUAUGUACAGUACAGAAUGCAUGAUGCUGAAGCUUCCCUCUUUCUUAUCACUUAUUUGUGAAGCUAGCACUGGAGGAAUAUCUUUAUCUUUUCUGUAGAUUAGAUUACUGUUCGGCGAGUUUUGAACCGUUACGAUAAUUGUGAUCCCUCCACAAACCAUGACGAGUUUUAUCCUCUUUAUCAGGCAGAUGUUAUAAUGGCCUUAGCUGGAUUGAAUGGAGGAUCUUGGUCAACAACUUACGCGCCAAAAUCUGCAUUAGGACCUCCGACUGGAGAUAAUUGUAUUCCCAGCGAUGCAGGCAUUGGUAUACCAAGGGAGUUGCACGAUAGGACAUCAGAUGGAGGGAAAUCCCACCAUGGUUUUGGCUCUGGUGAUUAACAAUUUCUUAUCCCAAUUUUUCACACACGUAAAAUUCGUUAAUGCCAUAUUUUUCACCAUGGUAACGGCAUUUGCUCGAAGUUUUCUGCAAAUUGUAGGUAAUUAUCAAGUGAACAUCAUUGAGAUUCAAGAUGAACUCCUUUUAUGAGAGUUACAUCAAAUGGACUUAGCUUUUUGCCAAUCUAUACUUGCACUUUCCUAAAUAUUGAAUAUGGUGACACUUAUAUAUAGAAUUGGAUGCACAUUGUAGGCAGUCUUCCGGUGGGUAUCAUAACAAAAGAAUCAAAAAGCGGGGUUCAAGCAUCGGAGGUCAAUGCUGGAGGUAAAGGCAAGGCGUAAUGAUUAACUCGGCCCAGUUUGUGCUUGCUAAAUUAAUAUCUGUAGUGUGCUUCAUCAAUUACCUCCAGCGAGUUCGAAUCUUCUUGCUCGAUUAUUUUUAAAGCUUUUCGCUUCUUUUUGUAAUUUGUAAGCACUCAAAUUAAGUAUGAGAUCCAGACAUUUGCAGUCUUGAGAGCUAGAUUUUUCUAUAUUAACAGAAUUACAUCUCGGAAUCCGCUUAGAGAAUCUGAGAUUCUUGUGACCAUUUUGAGAUAUUUAUCGUUUGAAUGAAACCUUGUGGUAGGAACUCCGUACAUAUUAUCUGUAAUGUCCGUUUAUUAUGUGGGGUCUUAUCAGUAUUGUAUGGUUAUGCUCUUGAUUGCAGAUCAGCUUGAUAUUACAUCGGGCUCGUUUUGUGAUUUCGUCAUGUAUAUUGUUGCUCUCAUAAGAAGGGAUUAGGCCUUUAAUCGCUAGGAUUGUCUCUGAUAUAGUUAGCGCCAUUUUGUUU
rnacentral:lncRNA from 1 species